GCGCGUAACCUGGUAUCGCACAAGCCUGGAAAGCUUGGCCCUCACGGGCAUCUGGGUUCAAAUCCCAGUCCCGGCG
rnacentral:tRNA from 1 species